rnacentral:rRNA from 1 species
UUGUCUCAGUUCGGAUUGUAGGCUGAAACUCGCCUACAUGAAGCUGGAGUUGCUAGUAAUCGCGAAUCAGCAUGUCGCGGUGAAUACGUCCCCGGGCCUUGUACACACCGCCCGUCACACCAUGAGAGUUGGCAAUACCCAACGUACGUGAUCUAACCCGCAAGGGAGGAAGCGUCCUAAGGUAGGGUCAGCGAUUGGGGUGAAGUCGUAACAAGGUACC